rnacentral:rRNA from 1 species
UUAGGAAUCUUCCACAAUGGGCGCAAGCCUGAUGGAGCGACACUGCGUGAAGGAUGAAGGCCUUCGGGUUGUAAACUUCUGAACGAGGGACGAAUAAUGACGGUACCUCGCUAAAAGCACCGGCUAACUCCGUGCCAGCAGCCGCGGUAAUACGGAGGGUGCAAGCGUUAUCCGGAAUCACUGGGCGUAAAGGGCGCGUAGGCGGUCUGUUAAGUCCGAUGUUAAAGACCGGGGCUCAACCCCGACACGGCGUUGGAUACUGGCAGGCUUGACGACUGGAGAGGCAAGUGGAAUUACCAGUGUAGCGGUGGAAUGCGUAGAUACUGGUAGGAACACCCAUUGCGAAGGCAGCUUGCUGGACAGUACGUGACGCUGAGGCGCGAAAGUGUGGGGAGCAAACC